UAGUACUUCCUAGGGCAGCUUA
rnacentral:miRNA from 1 species